rnacentral:rRNA from 1 species
GUUGUAAUCUAGAGAAGCAUUAUCCGCGCUGGACCGUGUACAAGUCUCCUGGAAUGGAGCGUCAUAGAGGGUGAGAAUCCCGUCUUUGACACGGACUGCCAGGGCUUUUGUGAUGUGCUCUCAAA